rnacentral:rRNA from 1 species
AGUGAACGCUGGCGGUAGGCCUAACACAUGCAAGUCGAACGGCAGCACAGUAAGAGCUUGCUCUUACGGGUGGCGAGUGGCGGACGGGUGAGGAAUACAUCGGAAUCUACUUUUUCGUGGGGGAUAACGUAGGGAAACUUACGCUAAUACCGCAUACGACCUACGGGUGAAAGCAGGGGAUCUUCGGACCUUGCGCGAUUGAAUGAGCCGAUGUCGGAUUAGCUAGUUGGCGGGGUAAAGGCCCACCAAGGCGACGAUCCGUAGCUGGUCUGAGAGGAGGGUCAGCCACACUGGAACUUGGACACGGUCCAGGCUCCUACGGGAGGCAGCAGUGGGGAAUAUUGGACAAUGGGCGCAAGCCUGGUCCAGCCAUACCGCGUGGGUGAAGAAGGCCUUCGGGUUGUAAAGCCCUUUUGUUGGGAAAGAAAAGCAGCAGGUUAAUACCCCGCUGUUCUGACGGUACCCAAAGAAUAAGCACCGGCUAACUUCGUG